rnacentral:tRNA from 1 species
AUGGAUGUGGUGUAGUGGUAACUCCCUGCAUUUGGGAUGCAGUGACGCAGGUUCGAUUCCUGCCAUCCGUACCA